GGGAAAAAAUGUUGGUAGGCUUUCAGCAGAUCAUAGUCAAACCAAGACAAAAUGUGUCACUCAUUCAUUUGAUGAUAACUUAAAAUAUACCACUAGGACAACAAAAGUCCUUACUGCCAAAUACACUUAAAGGGUGCCGCCUCCACUGGAUUUUUCAAGUUUUAAAGAGACAUAGUGAACUUGAAAUCCAGUUGCUUACAAAAAAAAAAACGUUCAGAAGUUUCAGUGACUACAAAUAUUGACAGAUUUUGGAGCAGGUGCAGUUUUACAUAGCAAAGACCUAUUUUAUAAGUGUUUAUCUCAUCCUUGUUGCUGUGUGAAAGGCCUAUGCAAACAGGAGAGAAUGACUGACUACACAUUGGAAACAGUGAAACUGAUUCUACAUAGGACUGCAAAGCAAGUGAACUGAAAAUAUUGAGGAAAAGAGUGUUCUUUUAAUCUCUUAUCUGUUAUUUUUACAGUGUUAAAAGUAUUUUCUGACAGAAAUGCAAGUUAUGUUGAUGGUGUCCCUUAGUACAAUGCUGAUAUUUAAAAGAAGUAAAUUAAGGCCCAAUCCUUCAGCUGAUACCAUGUGAGUACAGAAGUCCACCUGCACAGAGCCAGUUGCAGGAGCAGAGGGUAAGCAUUGACUGUUUUUCCACUUAAAGAAAAUUAUUAAGGGAAAAAAUAAGAGAUGUGAACACCCUUCCCCACCCACAAAUAAAAUUAAAUGUGUCUACUUUUUUCAUAAGUCAAGUGUGGAAGAUGAGAAAGUCUAGGAAAUAUUAUUUAAAUCCACUCCCAGGUCCCUGAAUACAUUACAACUAUAAAUGAGUGAAUGAAGCUGGUUACAGAGCAUGACUAAAGAGCGCAUGAAUAUUAAAAACUGGAACUGGGUUGUAACAGGCUCAGGACAAAACCAUGUAACUAAUCCCCGACUCAGCUCUAUUUGUACUGUUUUGGCCAAGGCUUUGUCUUGAUUUAAAAAAAACAAAAACAAAAAAACCCACCACAUAUAAAAUUUGGUCUAUGCUACAGAAUUGGAACCAUAUUUACCUUCAGUUGUCCCUUUGCCUGAUCUGUAACCUAUCCUCCAACAAAACAGAACCUAAACAUGAACUGAAAGGCGUUUUAAACAAAAAACAAAAAAACCCACCACCAAUACAUAAAAAAUAUGUUUCAAAGGUGGCCUGAAAAACAUGUGUCAAAGGUUCUGCAUUUCUCCUGCAACAGAUGAGGCCAUCACUUGAGGAGUACAGUUAGCCUGUUCCAUGUAAUGAUUUUAAUGUCCCUUACUAGUAAACACCUACAGGGUAAAUACAAUCUUGAACUUGGUCUUGGCAGGAGGAAGGUUUUGUCCAAGAAAAAAAAAAACUGAUUUUCAACUGUCUGGUAUUUAUACGUCAUUCUAAAAUCUAUGUCUCUUCUCUUAGUGAUUUGGGAUAUCUAUUUGUUGAGCACUAUCAGUUUUCACAGCACCACUGCGAAACAGGUUAAAAUGACAGCAUUUCAAUUAGUCUGAAAUGUCACAGGAAACAUUGCUACUAAGAAGCUAAAAGCCAAGACGUCCUUUUCCAAAGAGCUCAUUUAUUCCUUCAGGGGGUUAUGCCUGAAUCUUGCUAUUGUUUUGCCCCUUCAUUUUUCUAAAUGACUGUGCCUCAAGUAAGCUUCCUUGUCUUGGCUCACUAAUUUUUACAUUUUCUGGAGACCUAUACUUUAUGUUCUAAAUUAUAUUUUCAGUUCAAAUAUGCCCUUUGGAGAAUGUUCAUAAAUUUAAGAGAGAGGAAAUUCACCUGAAUGUUCAUUCAGUUUU